AUUGAACGCUAGCGGGAUGCUUUACACAUGCAAGUCGAACGGCAGCGCGGACUUCGGUCUGGCGGCGAGUGGCGAAAGGGUGAGUAAUGUAUCGGAACGUGCCCAGUAGCGGGGGAUAACUACGCGAAAGCGUAGCUAAUACCGCAUACGCCCUACGGGGGAAAGCAGGGGAUCGUAAGACCUUGCACUAUUGGAGCGGCCGAUAUCGGAUUAGCUAGUUGGUGAGGUAACGGCUCACCAAGGCGACGAUCCGUAGCUGGUUUGAGAGGACGACCAGCCACACUGGGACUGAGACACGGCCCAGACUCCUACGGGAGGCAGCAGUGGGGAAUUUUGGACAAUGGGGGCAACCCUGAUCCAGCCAUCCCGCGUGUGCGAUGAAGGCCUUCGGGUUGUAAAGCACUUUUGGCAGGAAAGAAACGUCGCGGGCUAAUACCCCGUGGAACUGACGGUACCUGCAGAAUAAGCACCGGCUAACUACGUG
rnacentral:rRNA from 1 species